AAAUAUGAAUAUCUGAGAUUGAGGAUAGAAAGCAGAACUGCAACUUCUGUUCAUGUUAAAAAUUCAGCAAAUUCAGUAUCAGGAGAGUGGAACUGUAUCCUUACAUCACAGUCAUACACGACUACAAUGCUAGUUUGUGGCCAAUAUUCAUUCUGCCAUAGCUCUUUCUAGUUAGUGAGACAGUCACAGGAGAAGGUUGAAUAUCUGCACAUGAGAAGAGCAAGACACUUCUAGAGAAAACACGAAAACAGCUGUUGUAUUAAUUUACUUACAUGAAUAUGCACCAAUAUGUUUCCCCUCCAUUUCUCUGCAGGUUGCCUGCUACUAUCAAUGUGAACAGCAUAGGAUAAUAUGCCUUUUGGUGUCUUCAGUGCUUUUGCAGUAAUAAGAAACAGCACGUUGACUUCUAUGACACUUUUUAAUGUCCAAAUAGACAUUGGUGUGGGUAAAGAAAUGUUAUAAAUGCUGGUAAGCAACUCGCCAAAAAUUAGAUGCCAACUUGGACCUUGAAGGACAGCUUCACUCCCACUCACUAGUAACUUCCGCAGAAACCUGGACCAUUGCAUGAAUGUAUCUAUAUUGACUUACCAACUGCACAUCAGUUUUUAAAGGGUAAAAAGAAACAGAUAAAGACAUUUCAGAUUCUAUUAUAUUUCAUUAUGUACCUAUCAAAACUAACAAGCUAUGACUUUAGGAGGGAAACAGCACUUGAAAAGCAUUUUAUGCUAUUAGUUUACUGCUUUACAUACUUAUAGUAAGAGCAAAUCCUGAUUUGCAUAGAGAAUGGAAAUUUAUAUACAAAACAGUCAUUACACUAUGGAACUUUUGGCUAAAAUAGAAAAGCAUCAGAAAUUCUCAU
rnacentral:lncRNA from 1 species